UACGUAGGUGGCAAGCGUUGUCCGGAAUUAUUGGGCGUAAAGCGCGCGCAGGCGGUCCUUUAAGUCUGAUGUGAAAGCCCACGGCUCAACCGUGGAGGGUCAUUGGAAACUGGGGGACUUGAGUGCAGGAGAGAAGAGUUGGAAUUCCACGUGUAAGUGGUGAAAUGCGUAGGAGAUGUGGAGGAACACCAGUGGCGAAGGCGACUCUUUGGCCUGUAACUGACGUGAGGCGACGAAAGCGUGGGGAGCAAAACAGG
rnacentral:rRNA from 1 species